CACCUUCUGAGUGUCUAUUUUUUUCGGUAUAUACUCGUUCCACUCCUGUGGACACCCGAACGACCAUUGAGCCGUUCAAUUUUUGCAGGCGGCAACGCCACAC
rnacentral:misc_RNA from 1 species